CGCUCUUUCAGUUCUGUGGAGAAGCUUCCCGAGCCGCGGGGCGGAGGAGUCGGAAGGUGUCGCCGUCUCCCUCAGCGGUCACCGGCCGGAAAACAGAGGGGAAUUGGGAUGCGCAAGAAAGCAGCGCUGGCUCAGCUCACGCUGCGGGGCCGGAGGGCUCUGCAGUCUCUUUUUGUGGCGACCAUGGCCGUGGAUGUGACUAGAAACUUCUGGAAAUGGCGGCGACUGCGGCGAAGAGGCUGAACACAGGGUAUUCUACAUACUAUUUUCGUAGGGCGGGUGGGCGAAUUUGUGGGGUCGAGCCCGGGAAAAUAGGUCUAAAGACAGAGGCAGGGUAUCUGUCCCCUGAAUUAGCAGCUGCGAACAGCUGGCCCGGCCUGUACCGAGACGCGGGGCACGUCGCGGCCUCCAUGUCCGCGCGGUAGUGCGCUUGCGCCCUGGCGGUACAGCGCCUGCACGGGAUCCCCGGGGACCCGGACCUGCGGGGAGCUCGGCGGCGCCCCGACGCGCCUGCCCUCAUCUGUGCCAGGUGAGGCCCCAGUGUGAGUUCGAAAGUACAUUAACGUGCACCUGGCGCGGGGACAUCGUCGCGAGCCCCACAAUACUCUCUCCCAUUCACACCUUCGAGUGACCUUUUGAGAGAAAUAAGUUUCUCUACACCCUAGAUAGUAUUUCAGAGGAACUGCUCAAGUACUGGAGAAGAGCACGUGAGGAAAAUUUACGGUCUCGGCGUACCAGCAGCGGGUACUCUUAUUUCUGGACGCUUUUUAUUUACAUCGGGGUUAGCCGGCGACAGUUUGUACGUUCCUUUACUUAACCACCAAAGGGAUUACAUAAUCUGAGGGAAACCAUCUUAUUCUGACUUAACUUCUGAACGCUUUUUGUUUACAUCGAGGUUAAUGUGCCAGUUUGUUCAUGCCUUUAUCUAACCGCUAAAGGGGAUACAUAAUUGGACGGAAACCACCUCCCUCAUCAUUAAUGAUGGUCUCCAAACUACAGCACCUACUUAUGACUUAAUGGAGUAACAGAUUUGUCUACGGUGAUGUGACACUUUAGACUUGACACGAAGUUAAAUCCCAACAAAUUAUAUGAAACAUAAACUUGCAUUAAAGAUCACUAAUUUUU